UGGAGGCACCAGGAGGCUCAGAGGUGCUUUGUGUGUGUGCCUCACCACUCCUGAAGCCAUGCAGGGCAGCACAGGAGGAACCUGCAGGGAUAACAUCAGAUGUUGAAAAACUAAACACGAACGCCAGAAAUGCUUCAACUCAAGAAGCCUUCAAGAAAGAAGUAUCUUUUUCGGUUAUGUACACAUCAUUUUUGAAAGGAGACAAGGCUGACAAAAUAAAGGAGGCAAAUAAAAACUUUGCUAAAGAGCACCCUGAUUACAUGCAGCACAAAUUCACAGGUUUUGGCAUCACUGAAAUUUCUGAGAUUUAAAUGGUACCAAAGGCAAAGAAAAAAACCAUAUAUAUCAGGACUGUCCUGAGAACCCUCUCAGGAAGAGCAGAUACGGCUCCUUUUCCUUCACGUGAUGCUGAGAUCAGAAGGCACCUUUCAGUCCUACCAUGGAAGAAGAAACAAAACAAUCUGGGGACAGAACUGGUGAGAAAUAUUGCCAUGGAUUUUAUAAGAAGCACCAGAAUAAAUGUGAGUAGAAAAACCUC